CUAAUACUCCAUGCUAUUAUCAAUUUUCCUGGCAGCGGCGCCAAAAUGUGAUUGUCGUUUUACUUACUCUAACUAAUAUAAUCAGAGUAAACCUGUAUAGGGGAAUUCGAACACAGGGAAAGAAUACCGCAUUAGCUUACACGUUAGGGUCACACAAUUAACUGUAUUCCAUACUACUUAAAACAGCGAAGAAACACUACAAGACUUUUUCUUGCUAAUGAAACCCUUUCAUUAACCGAUAACCACUAAAUGCAAUCUGCACUGUCUCAAAAGUCUACACAAAACACAUAAAUUCCAUCCAAUACCAGGAAUAACCAAUCUUACUCAAUUAAUCUGGCUUUACACAAUUUCUAUUUUCCCAAAUUUCCUCGGUUCGAACAUACACAGUUUUCAAUUAACCACGACCAUAAUCUUCCAGUUAUAACCAAUCUUCACAAAAUAUGAUAACAACUUCCAAAUUUCUCUCCUUCAAUCACACAAUACUUUAGUUACACACCCAAUAUCUCAUAAAUCAUUUCCCUGAUUUAUUCCAUGAAUUCUUUUCACAGUAUUCAGAACUUUAAACAACAAAACAAUAAAAAACAAGAGACAAUACCAAGCUUAUCCUGGCUCAUACUAUCACAGUUUGGCCCUUACUUCCUCUCUCCCAUCCUCCUUAUGCUACCACGAGAUACCAACUGCUACAUCUUUAAUGAAAACUGCUUUUCUUAACUAUUCAUCCAUUUUACCUACUGAACUACCUUUUCAACAGUCAUCUAUCCCUAUUUACACUAUAAACUAAGUAUCUACAAUUCAGCAAAUAACUACUUAUUCUACAAUGGUUCACAAUUUUAACAAUUAGCGACAAAUAUUAAGUAGGAUGAUACAAGACUCAUCAAUCAAUU
rnacentral:lncRNA from 1 species